GUAGGUGGUUCAAUAAGCGAAUAGUGAAAGCUGGUGGCUCAACCAUUCAGAUUAUUAUUCGAACNUGUUGAACUCGAGAGCAGAAGAGGUAGCNUGGAAUUUCUAGUGUAGGAGUGAAAUCCGUAGAUAUUAGAAGGAACACCGAUGGCGUAGGCAGGCUACNUGGGCNUGUUUCUGACACUGAGGCACGAAAGCGUGGGGAGCGAACCGGAUUAGAUACCCGGGUAGUCCACGCCGUAAACGAUGGAUACUAGCUGUUUGGGGUAUCGACCCCCUGAGUAGCGAAGCUAACGCGUUAAGUAUCCCGCCUGUGGAGUACGAUCGCAAGAUUAAAACAUAAAGGAAUUGACGGGGACCCGCACAAGCGGUGGAUCAUGUUCUUUAAUUCGAUGAUAACCGAUAAACCUUACCAGGUCUUGACAUCCUUGGAAUCUUUCAGAAAUGAGAGAGUGCUUUUUAAGAGCCAAGUGACAGGUGAUGCAUGGCCGUCGUCAGCUCGUGUCGUGAGAUGUUUGGUUAAGUCCAUCAACGAGCGCAACCCUUGUGAAUAGUUGUAUUUUUCUAUUCAGACUGCCCCGGCAACGGGGAGGAAGGAGGGGGAUGACGUCAGGUCAGUAUUUCCCUUUACGUCCUGGGCUAGAAACGUGAUACAAUGGCUAGUACAAUGCGCAGCGAANCCGCGAGGUGAAACA
rnacentral:rRNA from 1 species